UACGUAGGGCGCGAGCGUUGUCCGGAUUUAUUGGGCGUAAAGAGCUCGUAGGCGGUCUGUCGCGUCGGCUGUGAAAACCCGGAGCUCAACUCCGGGCCUGCAGUCGAUACGGGCAGACUGGAGUUCGGCAGGGGAGACUGGAAUUCCUGGUGUAGCGGUGAAAUGCGCAGAUAUCAGGAGGAACACCGGUGGCGAAGGCGGGUCUCUGGGCCGAUACUGACGCUGAGGAGCGAAAGCGUGGGGAGCGAACAGG
rnacentral:rRNA from 1 species